GCCUCGGUAGCUAAGCCUGGCAUAGCAGCAGCCUCGUAAGCUGCGGGUCGCGGGUUCAAAUCCCGCCCGAGGCUCCA
rnacentral:tRNA from 1 species